CUACGGGACGCUGCAGUAGGGAAUAUUGGGCAAUGGGCGCAAGCCUGACCCAGCAACGCCGCGUGCGCGAAGAAGGCCUUCGGGUCGUAAAGCGCUUUUCUGAGGGAUGAGAAAGGACAAUACCUCAGGAAUAAGCCUCGGCUAACUACGUGCCAGCAGCCGCGGUAAAACGUAGGAGGCGAGCGUUAUCCGGAUUUACUGGGCGUAAAGCGUGUGCAGGCGGUCUGGCAAGUUGGAUGUGAAAGCUCCCGGCUCAACUGGGAGAGGUCGUUCAAAACUACCGGACUAGAGUGUAUCAGAGGGAGAUGGAAUUCCCGGUGUAGUGGUGAAAUGCGUAGAUAUCGGGAGGAACACCAGUGGCGAAAGCGAUCUUCUGGGAUACUACUGACGCUCAGACACGAAAGCUAAGGUAGCGAACGGGAUUAGAUACCCGCGUAGUC
rnacentral:rRNA from 1 species